rnacentral:rRNA from 1 species
AAUAAGCGGAGGAAAAGAAACCAACAGGGAUUCCCUUAGUAACGGCGAGUGAACCGGGAAAAGCUCAAAUUUGAAAUCUGCCAACAGGCCGAGUUGUAAUUUGUAGAUGGCUACACUGCAUAAUAGUAGAUGCUCAAGUUCUUUGGAAAAAGACAUCAUGGAGGGUGACAAUCCCGUGAGGCAUGUUACUAGGAGCAUAUAGUGGGCUUUCUAAGAGUCGAGUUGUUUGGGAAUGCAGCUCAAAGUGCGUGGUGAAUACCAUGUAAAGCUAAAUAUGGACGAGAGACCGAUAGCGAACAAGUACUGUGAAGGAAAGAUGAAAAGCACUCCGAAAGGAGAGUGAAAUAGUACGUGAAAUUGUUAAAGUGGAAGGGCUUGAGAUCAGAAUUGGUAGUUUGGGUUCCACGUCCUCUUGGGGGCGUGUACUCCCUUUCCACCGGGCCAGCGGGAGUUUCGUCUCUUGGGUAAAAGCAGUGGAAUGUAGCAGCUUGUCUGUAUUAUAGCCUCUGUUCAUACAAGACGUCGAGACUG